rnacentral:rRNA from 1 species
CUUGCUCCUGGGUGACGAGCGGCGGACGGGUGAGUAAUGUCUGGGAAACUGCCUGAUGGAGGGGGAUAACUACUGGAAACGGUAGCUAAUACCGCAUAACGUCGCAAGACCAAAGAGGGGGACCUUCGGGCCUCUUGCCAUCAGAUGUGCCCAGAUGGGAUUAGCUAGUAGGUGGGGUAACGGCUCACCUAGGCGACGAUCCCUAGCUGGUCUGAGAGGAUGACCAGCCACACUGGAACUGAGACACGGUCCAGACUCCUACGGGAGGCAGCAGUGGGGAAUAUUGCACAAUGGGCGCAAGCCUGAUGCAGCCAUGCCGCGUGUAUGAAGAAGGCCUUCGGGUUGUAAAGUACUUUCAGCGGGGAGGAAGGCGUUGAGGUUAAUAACCUCAGCGAUUGACGUUACCCGCAGAAGAAGCACCGGCUAACUCCGUGCCAGCAGCCGCGGUAAUACGGAGGGUGCAAGCGUUAAUCGGAAUUACUGGGCGUAAAGCGCACGCAGGCGGUCUGUCAAGUCGGAUGUGAAAUCCCCGGGCUCAACCUGGGAACUGCAUUCGAAACUGGCAGGCUAGAGUCUUGUAGAGGGGGGUAGAAUUCCAGG